GACAUCCCUGAAUACUCGUAACUGAGGAAAUCUCUUCGGAACAGGAGACAGGUGGUGCAUGUGUCGUCAGCUCGUGUCGUGAGAUGUGGGUAAGUCCCGCAACGAGCGCAACCCUUAUUAUUGGUUGCUACCAUUAAGUUGAGCACUCUAAUGAGACUGCCCGGGUGAACCCGGGAGGAAGGUGGGGAUGACGUCAAAUCAUCAUGCCCCUUAUGUCCAGGGCUACACACGUGCUACAAUGGUGGGUACAGAGAGAAGCGAUACCGCGAGGUGGAGCAAAUCUCAAAAACCCAUCCCAGUUCGGAUUGCAGGCUGAAACUCGCCUGCAUGAAGCCGGAGUUGCUAGUAAUCGCAAAUCAGAAUGUUGCGGUGAAUACGUUCCCGGGCCUUGUACACACCGCCCGUCACACCAUGAGAGUUGGCAACACCCGAAGUCCGUGAGGUAACCGUAAGGAGCCAGCGGCCGAAGGUG
rnacentral:rRNA from 1 species